rnacentral:rRNA from 1 species
GAUGAACGCUGGCGGCGUGCCUAAUACAUGCAAGUCGAGCGAACGGACGAGAAGCUUGCUUCUCUGAUGUUAGCGGCGGACGGGUGAGUAACACGUGGAUAACCUACCUAUAAGACUGGGAUAACUUCGGGAAACCGGAGCUAAUACCGGAUGAUAUUUUGAACCGCAUGGUUCAAAAGUGAAAGACGGUCUUGCUGUCACUUAUAGAUGGAUCCGCGCUGCAUUAGCUAGUUGGUAAGGUAACGGCUUACCAAGGCAACGAUGCAUAGCCGACCUGAGAGGGUGAUCGGCCACACUGGAAAUGAGACACGGUCCAGACUCCUACGGGAGGCAGCAGUAGGGAAUCUUCCGCAAUGGGCGAAAGCCUGACGGAGCAACGCCGCGUGAGUGAUGAAGGUCUUCGGAUCGUAAAACUCUGUUAUUAGGGAAGAACAUAUGUGUAAGUAACUGUGCACAUCUUGACGGUACCUAAUCAGAAAGCCACGGCUAACUACGUG